rnacentral:rRNA from 1 species
GACGAACGCUGUUUGGCGUGCUUAACACAUGCAAGUCGAACGGAAAGGCCCUGCUUUUGUGGGGUGCUCGAGUGGCGAACGGGUGAGUAACACGUGAGUAACCUGCCCUUGACUUUGGGAUAACUUCAGGAAACUGGGGCUAAUACCAGAUAGGAGCUCCUGCUGCAUGGUGGGGGUUGGAAAGUUUCGGCGGUUGGGGAUGGACUCGCGGCUUAUCAGCUUGUUGGUGGGGUAGUGGCUUACCAAGGCUUUGACGGGUAGCCGGCCUGAGAGGGUGACCGGCCACAUUGGGACUGAGAUACGGCCCAGACUCCUACGGGAGGCAGCAGUGGGGAAUAUUGCACAAUGGGCGGAAGCCUGAUGCAGCAACGCCGCGUGCGGGGUGACGGCCUUCGGGUUGUAAACCGCUUUCGCCUGUGACGAAGCGUGAGUGACGGUAAUGGGUAAAGAAGCACCGGCUAACUACGUGCCAGCAGCCGCGGUGAUACGUAGGGUGCGAGCGUUGUCCGGAUUUAUUGGGCGUAAAGGGCUCGUAGGUGGUUGAUCGCGUCGGAAGUGUAAUCUUGGGGCUUAACCCUGAGCGUGCUUUCGAUACGGGUUGACUUGAGGAAGGUAGGGGAGAAUGGAAUUCCUGGUGGAGCGGUGGAAUGCGCAGAUAUCAGGAGGAACACCAGUGGCGAAGGCGGUUCUCUGGGCCUUUCCUGACGCUGAGGAGCGAAAGCGUGGGGAGCGAACAGGCUUAGAUACCCUGGUAGUCCACGCUGUAAACGGUGGGUACUAGGUGUGGGGUCCAUUCCACGGGUUCCGUGCCGUAGCUAACGCUUUAAGUAUCCCGCCUGGGGAGUACGGCCGCAAGGCUAAAACUCAAAGGAAUUGACGGGGCCCCGCACAAGCGGCGGAGCAUGCGGAUUAAUUCGAUGCAACGCGUAGAACCUUACCUGGGUUUGACAUGGAUCGGGAGUGCUCAGAGAUGGGUGUGCCUCUUUUGGGGUCGAUUCACAGGUGGUGCAUGGCUGUCGUCAGCUCGUGUCGUGAGAUGUUGGGUUAAGUCCCGCAACGAGCGCAACCCUUGUUCACUGUUGCCAGCACGUUAUGGUGGGGACUCAGUGGAGACCGCCGGGGUCAACUCGGAGGAAGGUGGGGAUGACGUCAAGUCAUCAUGCCCCUUAUGUCCAGGGCUUCACGCAUGCUACAAUGGCUGGUACAGAGAGUGGCGAGCCUGUGAGGGUGAGCGAAUCUCGGAAAGCCGGUCUCAGUUCGGAUUGGGGUCUGCAACUCGACCUCAUGAAGUCGGAGUCGCUAGUAAUCGCAGAUCAGCAACGCUGCGGUGAAUACGUUCCCGGGGCU